UACGUAGGUGGCAAGCGUUGUCCGGAUUUAUUGGGUUUAAAGGGUGCGUAGGCGGCUUUGUAAGUCAGUGGUGAAAUAUGGCAGCUCAACUGUCAAGGUGCCAUUGAUACUGCGGAGCUUGAGUACAGAUGAGGUAGGCGGAAUGGACGGUGUAGCGGUGAAAUGCUUAGAGAUCGUCCAGAACACCGAUAGCGAAGGCAGCUUACUAAGGAGUAACUGACGCUGAGGCACGAAAGUGUGGGGAUCAAACAGG
rnacentral:rRNA from 1 species